AGUGAACGCUGGCGGUAGGCCUAACACAUGCAAGUCGAACGGCAGCACAGUAAGAGCUUGCUCUUACGGGUGGCGAGUGGCGGACGGGUGAGGAAUACAUCGGAAUCUACUUUUUCGUGGGGGAUAACGUAGGUAAACUUACGCUAAUACCGCAUACGACCUACGGUUGAAAGCAGGGGAUCUUCGGACCUUGCGCGAUUGAAUGAGCCGGUGUCGGAUUAGCUAGUUGGCGGGGUAAAGGCCCACCAAGGCGACGAUCCGUAGCUGGUCUGAGAGGAGGAGCAGCCACGCUGGGGCUGAGACACGGUCCAGACUCCUACGGGAGCCAGCAGUGGGGAAUGUUGGACAAUGGGCGCAAGCCUCAUCCAGCCAUGCCGCGUGAGUGAAGAAGGCCUUCGGGUUGUAAAGCCCUUUUGGUGGGAAAGAAAAGCAGCAGGUUAAUACCCCGCUGUUCUGACGGUACCCAAAGAAUAAGCACCGGCUAACUGCG
rnacentral:rRNA from 1 species